AGCAGCCGCGGUAAUUCCAGCUCCAAUAGCGUAUAUUAAAGUUGUUGCAGUUAAAAAGCUCGUAGUUGAAUUUCGGGAUCAAAGAAUCGGUCAUGCCUUGGUAUGUACUGGUUUUAUUGGUUCUCACCUUCUAAAGAACCAUGAUGUCAUUCAUUUGAUGUUAUGGGGAAUUAGGACUGUUACCUUGAAAAAAUUAGAGUGUUUAAAGCAAGCUUACGCUUGAAUACAUUAGCAUGGAAUAAUGAAAUAGGACAUCAGAUUCUAUUUUGUUGGUUUCUAGGAUCGAUGUAAUGAUUAAUAGGGAUAGUUGGGGGCAUUAGUAUUCAAUUGUCAGAGGUGAAAUUCUUGGAUUUAUUGAAGACUAACUACUGCGAAAGCAUUUGCCAAGGAUGUUUUCAUUAAUCAAGAACGAAAGUUAGGGGAUCGAAGACGAUCAGAUACCGUCGUAGUCUUAACCCAUAAACUAUGCCGACUAGGGAUCGGAUGAUGUUAAUUUUUAAUGACUC
rnacentral:misc_RNA from 1 species